UGUUGACAUUAUAGUUGUGCAGGAACUUUGUUGACUCUAGAGAACCUCGGACAAAUCGCACAUCCCCACAGCGGCGACUUUCCAUGCGGAUGUCAUCCAUAUCAACUUUUAAAUGCCAGUUUCUGCGCCUACCAUGGUGACCACGGGUAACGGGGAAUCAUUCCGAGCAGGGACCCUGAGAAACGGCUACCACAUGCAAGGAAGGCAGCAGGCGUGCAAAUGACCCACUCCUGACGCGGGAAGGUAGUGACGACA